rnacentral:tRNA from 1 species
CGGGUUAGGGCACGUGGUAGCAUUGCAUGGGGUGCAGGUGGUCGUGAGUUCAAAUCUCACCGCCCCGACCA